rnacentral:rRNA from 1 species
GUGGGGAAUCUUGCGCAAUGGGCGAAAGCCUGACGCAGCCAUGCCGCGUGGAUGAUGAAGGUCUUAGGAUUGUAAAAUCCUUUCACCGGUGAAGAUAAUGACUGUAGCCGGAGAAGAAGCCCCGGCUAACUUCGUGCCAGCAGCCGCGGUAAUACGAAGGGGGCUAGCGUUGCUCGGAUUUACUGGGCGUAAAGGGCGCGUAGGCGGACAUUUAAGUCAGGGGUGAAAUCCCGGGGCUCAACCUCGGAACUGCCUUUGAUACUGGGUGUCUUGAGUAUGAGAGAGGUGAGUGGAACUCCGAGUGUAGAGGUGAAAUUCGUAGAUAUUCGGAAGAACACCAGUGGCGAAGGCGGCUCACUGGCUCGAUACUGACGCUGAGGUGCGAAAGCGUGGGGAGCAAACAGGAUUAGAAACCCUAGUAGUCC